CAAUUAAUAUCUUAAAUUAAAGAUAUGAUUUUUUAAAUCAUCAAUGGUAAAUAAUUCUACCUUAAUUGG
rnacentral:tRNA from 1 species